rnacentral:lncRNA from 1 species
UGUCAAAAAGCAAAAAAGAAAAAUCAAAUUCACACCAUUAAAAGGGAGAUGAUAUGAAGAAUAGCAAGCAGGAGCUGUGAAAUGAAAGCAACCUAGUUGUAGAGAUCAGGAUUUGCCAAGAGGUAAGCUUCAACAGCCUUAUACAUUCCGGACGCCCUUUCUUUGCCAGCCUUAAUUUGCUCUUCAUUGAUCUCAAUUUCACCAAUGGUGUAAUACUUGCUGGUGCUCUUGCAAAUUGAUCCUCCAUCUGGUGCUGCCACAAACUUGGUCUCAUAACUGAUUUUCUCAAGUGUGUUCAUCAAAGCAUCUCCUUCGAUCACACUAUAACUGUAUGAGAAGUUCUCCUUGUCUAUUCCUUCAACCUUUUGUUUCACAUACUUGAAUUGGCUGCCUACAUUUGUUACCAAGCAAAAAUCUUACAUACUAUUAUAUUUCUCAAAAUUAGAAAAUGGAAAGGAAUUCAUGUGGCAAGAAAUGGAAACUAACCUUCACCAAAAGUAAUCUUCUUGAUACUUCCGGGCCCACCAUCUCCUUCAACAAGCUCAGAACUCUUGAUUGCUUGUGGCACAACCUUGGGGAAAAGAUUGUCACCGUCAAGAACAAAGGCCUUGAACAUCUUGGCUGGGGGGAUUGAGGUAGCUACCUCCAUUUCAUACGUGACAACACCCAUGAUUCUACAAUAGGAGUUUGAAAAUGUUCAAAUUGGAGGAAGAUAAAAACAGAGAGAAAAAGAGGAUGAUUAACUGAGUAUUUUGAGAUGUGGGAAGAAGCGAGAACUAAGAUGGUAUUUAUAGUUGCUGUACUUUCAAAGAAUUUGCAGUGGUCAAAAAAAGCACCCUGCAUGAGAAUUUCCAUGGUAAAUGGCUAAUUGAUCAUUUUAAAAUGUUGUACCAACCUAUAGGAGCAAAAAAAAAAAAUCAUUUGACCAUUUUGUUAAUAGAUGGUGCCAUGGGGCCUUUUGGCAUGUAUACGGACUGCAAAAUUUCAAUAUAAUAACAGCAAAGUGGAUUUCAGAAGGCAGCAACAAUUUGACAAAAUUAAGUUGUGAAGAUGAAGGCGCCUUUGGUUGACUAACGACUUAAUUAUCGUAAGUGAGAAAAGAAAGACCAAAAGAUAUAAAAAAAUAAAUAUAAUAUUAUAUAUAUAUUUAUUCUAUCAAAUUAAAGCUCGAGAAGACUUGGUGGACUAUCUAGAAAGCAAGUGAAAGAAGUAAUAGGUAUUUGGAAUACAUGUACCCGUGACUUUUUUAAAAUAUACGAAAAUAAAAUAAAAAUUUUUUUAUUUUUAUUUUGCAUAUUUAAAUAUUUUUUAUAAAUAUAUCUUUUUUAAACAUAAAUACAUUAAUUUUAAUAAAUCUAAAAUAAAUUUUAUAUUAUUAAAUAAAAAAAUUAGUUUAUUAAAUAUAUAUAAAUUACAAGUAUAAAAUCAAUAUUAUAUUAUCCAUCUUUAUACCCGUAUUCGAUAAAAAAAUUUAAAUCAUAUACAUUCUUAUCCCUUCCUUAAAAUUUAAUAUCUUGAAUUUAAAGAAGAUUUGACAUCCCUUUUUACCUCCAAUUAAAUUUUUAUAACCUUGAACUUCACUGUUGGGUAUUCGGAACAUCUUGAUUACUACCAUUUCUCAUUGGUUGGAUGAAUUAUGGCUAUUUUUUGUACUUGGGUUUUCUGCACAUGAGCCAUAAGUGAACUGCCAGACGACCCUGCUUUGAAACUUCUCUUUAUCUACAUGUUUGGCAAUUCUUGGAAUUUGAAAUUUUCCCAAUGUUAUAUCAUUUCAUCAAAAAAAUAAAAUAAAAUAAAAUUUCUCUAUACUAUCUGAUGUCACUAUGUCAGCAUCCUUUUGGAAAAUGGUAGUGGCAUUCAUCAUAUCAAUUACCCAAAAUUUUACUAUAAACCCUUUUCUUUAAAAACGUGGGGAAGCCUUUGUGGAUUUAAAUUUCCAUAAUAAUUUGUCUUCCAGGUUGCAUCAAGGACUAUGUGUCAGAAUAAGUUUCAUAUUUCUUCUGAAACUUGACUUUGUUAUGUUCAAUAUAUAAUUAGUAAAUCUUGAAAGACGAAGAUGCUGGACUCAUCAUUUUCAAUGGAUGGCUUGAUCUCACAACAAUUUAUUAAUGCAGUUGACAUUUACAGUUCAAGCUUGCAGGUAAUCUCAGACAAACUAUGAACUCUUACUAGCAAUCUGAAGGCCAUAUCAUAUGGACUGACUAACAACUACAAAAAAAAAAAAUGUAAAAAAGAAAAGGCAAUUCUCUCUCACUCAAAGCACACAUAUGUUCCACACUGUCUGAUCAUUGAAGUGGAUGCUAUUUCAAUAAUGGGAUUUUUAAUAGGCAUCUGGAUUUGCUAGGAGGUAGGCUUCAAUAGCUUUGAACAAUCCCAAAGCCUUUUCUUUGCCUGCCUUGAUUCCCUCUUCCUUGAUCUCAAAGUCACCAAUGGUGUAAUAUUUACUAGUAGUCUUACACACGGAUCCCCCAGCUGCAGAGGGCUCUAACUUAUAAAAGGGUUUUGAAGUUAGAUUCACUUGCAGCUUUUAGCCACACGUGAAUCAAAGACCCUGCUUCAUUGCAUACUUUCACUGUUCACAUGUGCAUAUUGUUUAUCAGCUCUCAUAGACAGUUGUGGACUUGGUCUCACAGCUGAUAUCAAGUUAUUAGGUGGAAAUUUUAGGCAACAAAUGUCAAAUUCUUUAUCUGACUUUAGGUUCAGAUCUUGGAAAUAGAAGGGAUUUGGAUUUCGUCAUCAAUCCUGAUUCAGGUCAAAAAAUUUAUGACAAAAAAAAAAAGAAAUUACAAAUAAUAAAAGCUUGAUUACCAUAUAUUUUUCAUUUCAUAUAUCAAAUAUGAUACAACUCAAACUUCUUAAUUAUGUAAUGAAAACACAGAUGAUCACGGCAAGAGACCACCACUCUUAUUAGCCAUUGAAGGAAAGUUUGGCAAAAAGCAAACAAGAAAAAUCAAAAUCACACCAUUAAAAGGGAUAUGAUAUGAAGAACAGCAAGCAGGAGCUGUGAAAUGAAAGCAACCUAGUUGUAGAGAUCAGGAUUUGCCAAGAGGUAAGCUUCAACAGCCUUGUACAUUCCUGACGCCCUUUCUUUGCCAGCCUUAAUUUGCUCUCUUUCAUUGAUCUCAAUGUCACCAAUGGUAUUAAUACUUGCUGGUGCUCUUGCAAAUUGAUCCUCCAUCCUGGUGCUGCCACAAACUUGGUCUCAUAACUGAUUUUCUCAAGUGUGU